GGCGGACGGGUGAGUAAUAUAUAGAUAACGUGCCUCCCAGUCUGGGAUAGCCAUUGGAAACGAUGAUUAAUACUAGAUACUCCUUCUUAUCACAUGAUAAGUCGGGAAAGUUUUUUCGCUAAGAGAUCGGUCUAUAUCGCAUCAGUUAGUUGGUGGGGUAACGGCCUACCAAGACAAUGACGCGUAGCGGGUUUGAGAGGAUGAUCCGCCACACUGGUACUGAGACACGGACCAGACUCCUACGGGAGGCAGCAGUGAGGAAUAUUGCACAAUGGGGGAAACCCUGAUGCAGCAACGCCGCGUGGAGGAUGACGCAUUUCGGUGUGUAAACUCCUUUUAUGAGUCAAGAAAAUGACGGUAGCUCAUGAAUAAGCACCGGCUAACUCCGUGCCAGCAGCCGCGGUAAUACGGAGGGUGCAAGCGUUACUCGGAAUCACUGGGCGUAAAGGACGCGUAGGCGGGUUAUCAAGUCAGGUGUGAAAUCCUAUGGCUCAACCAUAGAACUGCACUUGAAACUGGUAACCUAGAGUAUGGGAGGGGCAGAUGGAAUUAGUAGUGUAGGGGUAAAAUCCGUAGAUAUUACUAGGAAUACCGAAAGCGAAGGCGAUCUGCUGGAACAUUACUGACGCUAAGGCGUGAAAGCGUGGGGAGCAAACGGGAUUAGAUACCCCGGUAGUCCACGCCCUAAACGAUGAACACUAGUCGUCGGGGAGCUAGUCUCUUCGGUGAUGCACUUAACAGAUUAAGUG
rnacentral:rRNA from 1 species